UGGGGUAUAUUGGACAAUGGGCGAAAGCCUGAUCCAGCCAUGCCGCGUGUGUGAAGAAGGCCUUUUGGUUGUAAAGCACUUUAAGCGAGGAGGAGGCUACUUAGAUUAAUACUGUAGGAUAGUGGACGUUACUCGCAGAAUAAGCACCGGCUAACUCUGUGCCAGCAGCCGCGGUAAUACAGAGGGUGCGAGCGUUAAUCGGAUUUACUGGGCGUAAAGCGUGCGUAGGCGGCUUUUUAAGUCGGAUGUGAAAUCCCUGAGCUUAACUUAGGAAUUGCAUUCGAUACUGGGAAGCUAGAGUAUGGGAGAGGAUGGUAGAAUUCCAGGUGUAGCGGUGAAAUGCGUAGAGAUCUGGAGGAAUACCGAUGGCGAAGGCAGCCAUCUGGCCUAAUACUGACGCUGAGGUACGAAAGCAUGGGGAGCAAACAGG
rnacentral:rRNA from 1 species